rnacentral:rRNA from 1 species
GACGAACGCUGGCGGCGUGCCUAAUACAUGCAAGUAGAACGCUGAAGGAGGAGCUUGCUUCUCUGGAUGAGUUGCGAACGGGUGAGUAACGCGUAGGUAACCUGCCUGGUAGCGGGGGAUAACUAUUGGAAACGAUAGCUAAUACCGCAUAAUAGUAGAUGUUGCAUGACAUUUGCUUAAAAGGUGCAAUUGCAUCACUACCAGAUGGACCUGCGUCGUAUUAGCUAGUUGGUGGGGUAACGGCUCACCAAGGCGACGAUACAUAGCCGACCUGAGAGGGUGAUCGGCCACCCUGGGACUGAGACACGGCCCAGACUCCUACGGGAGGCAGCAGUAGGGAAUCUUCGGCAAUGGACGGAAGUCUGACCGAGCAACGCCGCGUGAGUGAAGAAGGUUUUCGGAUCGUAAAGCUCUGUUGUAAGAGAAGAACGAGUGUGAGAGUGGAAAGUUCACACUGUGACGGUAUCUUACCAGAAAGGGACGGCUAACUACGUG